AUUGAACGCUGGCGGCAGGCCUAACACAUGCAAGUCGAGCGGAUGAAGGGAGCUUGCUCCUGGAUUCAGCGGCGGACGGGUGAGAAAUGCCUAGGAAUCUGCCUGGUAGUGGGGGAUAACGUCCGGAAACGGGCGCUAAUACCGCAUACGUCCUGAGGGAGAAAGUGGGGGAUCUUCGGACCUCACGCUAUCAGAUGAGCCUAGGUCGGAUUAGCUAGUUGGUGGGGUAAAGGCCUACCAAGGCGACGAUCCGUAACUGGUCUGAGAGGAUGAUCAGUCACACUGGAACUGAGACACGGUCCAGACUCCUACGGGAGGCAGCAGUGGGGAAUAUUGGACAAUGGGCGAAAGCCUGAUCCAGCCAUGCCGCGUGUGUGAAGAAGGUCUUCGGAUUGUAAAGCACUUUAAGUCGGGAGGAAGGGCAGUAAGUUAAUACCUUGCUGUUUUGACGUUACCAACAGAAUAAGCACCGGCUAACUUCGUG
rnacentral:rRNA from 1 species